rnacentral:rRNA from 1 species
AUAGGUGGGAGGCUUUGAAGCAGGUCUUAUGGGACUUGUGGAGCCACUCGUGAGAUACCACUCUGAUAAAGCUAGACAUCUAACCUUCGACCGUAAGCCGGUGAAGAAACACUCUCAGGCGGGCAGUUUGACUGGGGCGGUCGCCUUCCAAAAAGUAACGAAGGCGCACAAAGGUUUCCUCAGAUCGGUCAGACAUCGAUCUUUGAGUGUAAAGGCAAAAGGAAGCUUGACUGUGAGACCUACAAGUCGAACAGAGACGAAAGUCGGUCUUAGUGAUCUGGCGAUAUUGAGUGGAAAAGUCGUCACUCAACGGAUAAAAGUUACUCUAGGAUAACAG